ensembl:lncRNA
CUCCGACCUGAAGAACGAGAGUGGCCAGGAGGACAAGAAGCGGCUCCUCCUAGGGCUGGACCGGUGAGCCUGCUAGCCUGCAUCAUGGCUCAAGGAUUCAAUUCAUUUUUAAAAAUUUAUUAUUAAAUCAGAUUUUGUGUACAGUAUGUGUCUAGCGAAGCCACGAAGGGCCUCUCCCUUCCCACCUUCUCUCCUUGGGGUUUUCUUCAGCCCUGCCAAGAACUCUGGAUGCUUCUGAACUUCCGAACCUUGUGCAAAAUUCAGAAGAUGUAUUCAGAGACACCCUGGCUCCUGACCUUCCACUUUGGGGAAUUCAAAGGACUGACCUGCCUCUGCCGCCUGUGCUCUUGCUGGACCAAGGCAGGGGAGGCUGCCCUCUGCUCCCCACAGCCAGGCAGCCCAGAGUUCCUGGUUGGCGGCCCUUUUCCGGGUCCCGUUUUGGGUCCUCCAUUCUCCCAGAGGCUCCUGGAGCCAGCCACCCUGACUGAGCCGCACGUGGGGUUGUGAGGCAAGAUGCCCGUGGCCCUGGGACAGCCUCUUCAAUUGAGGGGAAGCCGGCCUGGUGCAAAGAUUGUGUCCUGUCGUUUGACCAUGCACGACCCGGUUUGCUCUUUUUUCUUUUUUAGGGACAAGGGCUUUCCUUUUGUGGAGACGUGGAACUCGCCCCCCUCCCCCCGCUCCCAGCGGUGUUGGCAGUGUUGGUUAACAAGCUGGUUUGACUCAUUACGUUCUUCCGUUUUGGGUCCCAGCUCUGAAGGGGUGGGGUGAAGCUGGGGACAACUCCUUUCCUGGGUGAAUUUUUCAUUUGAAUCAUGCAGCUUAGUCACCCUGUGGUGAAGGCCAGGACAGCUUCAGGUGCCCAUUGUCAACAGCCUGCCUUCUGGGCAGGUGGGGUUGCCAUGCCUGGGACUGAGCCGGUGCCCACCUAAGGGCUAAGGCCUCUUGCUGGUGCACGUGACAUUUGUCCUGCAGAGCUGCGGGGCGGUGGGGGGUGAUGUCAGGGAUCAGGGUGAUGUGGUGAUGAUGUACCCCCGCCCUCACCCCCGUUGAUUUAAAGCUGUUCCCAAACAGUUCAGUUUCUUCUGAAGGUGAAGCCUUGUCCCGAAAGGGCCAGUGAGACAGCUGGAUCUUGGAGACAAUUACAAGCCGGGAGCAGAACUCCUGAUUGCCUGCUGAUUCUACAACUGAUCAGUUGCAGCUGCUGGUUUUGGUUUCCACCUUAGCCUGGUUGGUGGCUGUAAAAACACAUGAUGUGUACUUAAUCAAUUUUCUUUCUGAUUCUCCCAGAUCGGUGGCUUGGGGCUUGGGAGAGGACCAAGAGAAGGGAGCAAGCCCUCCUCUGUCCCUUCGGCUUUGGGGAACAAAGACUGAUGUGAAGAUGCUACAGAGAAUUCUCUCUUCCAGUCCCAGUCCCCCAGGGGGUGCUGGAAGGGGAGGCUGGGGGGAGGCAGGGGGCGGUUUUACAUAGGAUUAGCUUCCAGGUGGCUGCCGAUUUCAGCAGAAGCACUACUGAAAUUCACAGAAAAAAGAAAAAGCUGUGAAAUUGAGGUCCCGAUUUAAUAGGCCCGGAGCUGAGCCUGCGGGCCCGUGGUGCUCCCGAGGAAGAGGGCCUGCCCGAGCCGGAGAGCAUUGGCCGCAGCUGCGCCCCGAGGCCCACGCUGAGCCUUUCUCAGGACCGCCAGCCAGAUAACCUGCCGCGGGGCUGGAAGGAACCUGCGGCUGCUGGCGCGGACCUCGCCGCGACGCCUCUUCUCUGCUGGAGUUGUCACCCAGCCCGUCUGUGCAGAUCCUGCUGCCAUGUGUGACCUGAGGUAGGAGGCCCGUGGGGGCAGCGGGCCCUGGCGGCACACGAGAGGGGGGUCUCCGGGUGCCGACUCUCAAGAGCAGGGGCGCGGGUCUAUAGUCGCUCCUUCGCGGGCUGCGCUGGGCCUGAAACUGCGGGAAGGUGCAUCCGCAGGAUUCCAGUUCUGUGCGUUUCCUUCUCUCCAUAUUUAUUUUUUUAAGUUUCGGAGGCGGUGCAAAUUUCAGGAGUGGUUGGGGACUAAGAAAAGAACUCUCUAGUUCCAUCAAUGUGAAGCCUGGUGGGGUCUCCUCCCUCCCUUGCACUGGUCAUCAGUAUUGUGUAGAGGAACUGAUAUACUUGAGUGUGCAAGCAAUGAACCCAUUUGACAUGCUGCUAUGAAGACUACUUUUAGAACAAU